UACGGGGGGGGGCAAGCGUUGUUCGGAAUUACUGGGCGUAAAGAGCUCGUAGGUGGUUUGUCGCGUUGUCCGUGAAAACUCACAACUCAAUUGUGGGCGUGCGGGCGAUACGGGCAGACUGGAGUACUGCAGGGGAGACUGGAAUUCCUGGUGUAGCGGUGGAAUGCGCAGAUAUCAGGAGGAACACCGGUGGCGAAGGCGGGUCUCUGGGCCGAAACUGACGCUGAGGAGCGAAAGCGUGGGGAGCAAACAGG
rnacentral:rRNA from 1 species